rnacentral:rRNA from 1 species
UACAGAGGGGGCAAGCGUUAUUCGGAAUUAUUGGGCGUAAAGGGCGCGUAGGCGGCUUGGCAAGUGGAUGGUGAAAUCCCUCGGCUUAACCGAGGAACUGCCAUCCAGACUGCUUUGCUUGAGGCCGGGAGAGGUGAGUGGAAUUCCCAGUGUAGCGGUGAAAUUCGUAGAUAUUCGCAAGAACACCAGUGGCGAAGGCGGCUCACUGGCCCGGUACUGACGCUGAGGUGCGAAAGCGUGGGGAGCAAACAGGG